GGGCUCCCCAUUCGACCCG
rnacentral:snRNA from 1 species